AGGCCACUGCAGCAGCAAUGACGGAGGGCACGUGAGUCCCCUCGCCCCGGGCUCCUGACGAAUGCGGGGUGGUCCUGGGUGCUGAGGAGAGCGCGACGGGGGCAGUGGGCCAGCGGCCGGGAUUGGGGCGGGACCUGGGUCGCUGAUGGCCGGUGGUCCUCAGGUGUCUGCGGCGCCGAGGGGGCCCCUACAAGACCGAGCCCGCCACCGACCUCGGCCGCUGGCGACUCAACUGCGAGAGGGGCCGGCAGACGUGGACCUACCUGCAGGACGAGCGCGCCGGCCGCGAGCAGACCGGCCUGGAAGCCCACGCCCUGGGGCUGGACACCAAGAAUUACUUUAAGGACUUGCCCAAAGCCCACACCGCCUUUGAGGGGGCUCUGAACGGGAUGACAUUUUACGUGGGGCUGCAGGCUGAGGAUGGGCACUGGACGGGUGAUUAUGGUGGCCCACUUUUCCUCCUGCCAGGCCUCCUGAUCACUUGCCAUGUGGCACGCAUCCCUCUGCCAGCCGGAUACAGAGAAGAGAUUGUGCGGUACCUGCGGUCAGUGCAGCUCCCCGACGGUGGCUGGGGCCUGCACAUUGAGGAUAAGUCCACCGUGUUUGGGACUGCGCUCAACUAUGUGUCUCUCAGAAUUCUGGGUGUUGGGCCUGAUGAUCCUGACCUGGUACGAGCCCGGAACAUUCUUCACAAGAAAGGUGGUGCUGUGGCCAUCCCCUCCUGGGGGAAGUUCUGGCUGGCUGUCCUGAAUGUUUACAGCUGGGAAGGCCUCAAUACCCUGUUCCCAGAGAUGUGGCUGUUUCCUGACUGGGCACCGGCACACCCCUCCACACUCUGGUGCCACUGCCGGCAGGUGUACCUGCCCAUGAGCUACUGCUACGCCAUUCGGCUGAGUGCCGCGGAAGACCCGCUGGUCCAGAGCCUCCGCCAGGAGCUCUAUGUGGAGGACUUCGCCAGCAUUGACUGGCUGGCGCAGAGGAACAACGUGGCCCCCGACGAGCUGUACACGCCGCACAGCUGGCUGCUCCGCGUGGUAUAUG
rnacentral:sRNA from 1 species